GACGAACGCUGGCGGCGUGCUUAACACAUGCAAGUCGAGCGGAAAGGCCCUUUCGGGGGUACUCGAGCGGCGAACGGGUGAGUAACACGUGAGUAAUCUGCCCUUGGCUUCGGGAUAGCCACCGGAAACGGUGAUUAAUACCGGAUACGACACAUCACUGCAUGGUGCGUGUGUGGAAAGUUUUUUCGGCCAGGGAUGUGCUCGCGGCCUAUCAGCUUGUUGGUGGGGUAAUGGCCUACCAAGGCUUCGACGGGUAGCCGGCCUGAGAGGGUGCCCGGCCACACUGGGACUGAGACACGGACCAGACUCCUACGGGAGGCAGCAGUGGGGAAUAUUGGACAAUGGGCGGAAGCCUGAUCCAGUAACGCCGCGUGAGGGAUGACGGCCUUCGGGUUGUAAACCUCUUUCAGCACAGACGAAGCGCAAGUGACGGUAUGUGCAGAAGAAGGACCGGCCAACUACGUGCCAGCCGCCGCGGUAACAC
rnacentral:rRNA from 1 species